rnacentral:rRNA from 1 species
UUUCGGGCUUCGGCUCGACUCUCCCACCCUUUGUGAACGUACCUCUGUUGCUUUGGCGGCUCCGGCCGCCAAAGGACCUCCAAACUCCAGUCAGUAAACGCAGACGUCUGAUAAACAAGUUAAUAAACUAAAACUUUCAACAACGGAUCUCUUGGUUCUGGCAUCGAUGAAGAACGCAGCGAAAUGCGAUAAGUAAUGUGAAUUGCAGAAUUCAGUGAAUCAUCGAAUCUUUGAACGCACAUUGCGCCCCUUGGUAUUCCGGGGGGCAUGCCUGUUCGAGCGUCAUUACAACCCUCAAGCUCUGCUUGGAAUUGGGCACCGUCCUCACUGCGGACGCGCCUCAAAGACCUCGGCGGUGGCUGUUCAGCCCUCAAGCGUAGUAGAAUACACCUCGCUUUGGAGUGGUUGGCGUCGCCCGCCGGACGAACCUUCUGAACUUUUCUCAAGGUUGACCUCGGAUCAGGUAGGGA